UUUGGCGGAGGAAUAGACUUGCGCGGAGGAGAUAGACUUGCGGAGAGGAAUAGACUUUUGCGCGGAGGAGAGAGAGAAUCGACCUGGAGGAACCGUUGAGAGGAGGGAUUUUAUCGAAGCUUCGAGGGGGCCGUUGGGGAUUAUCGGAUUGCUGAGGAGUGUCUGCAGCCCGCGUCUUCCAAAACCCAGGAGUGAUACACACUGACACAGCCCUUCAUUAACUCCACUGGUCAACCAUUGCCUUCUGUUAUGCCAUAGACUUUCUUUCCAUUCGGCAUGAAAGCAGCAAAUUUACAUUUUUUUCUUAGCCACCAAUACAAAGUACAUGGGGGGCACUUGAUACAACUGCUCUACUGUCAAGCUGUCCUUCUGUCCUUAGAAAAGUCAUCUGACAUACUGGGAGCCUACAGUUCAUCUGUCAUCAGAUUAGAUGGCCCAGCACAAACUGUUCUGUAGAAUAACCAGAAGGGGGUGUACGGCCAGCUGGCCAAGGUCUGCACGACGAUGACUGUGUCUUUUACUUUCUCUCUUACAAUUGACCGUGGACCUCCUAAAGUUUCCUCUCUUCAGCCAUAAUACAACAUUA